GCACCGGGAGCCCGAUGUGGGAUUUGAUGCCGGGUCUCCAGGAUCGCGCCCUGGGCCAAAGCUUUCUCAAAAAGUGAACACAGGGAGCAAGUAGAAACAUUUCCAAAACUGCUUUCCAAAAAUCAGAGUGACCCAGGAUGCCCCAGAGCUCAACAGUCUUGGAGGAACCACUUGCCGGCUGCCUGCUCUGCAGUCCCAAGCACUGAAGUUUCUUAUCUUCCCGUGCCAACAGCAGCAUUUUUGACUCUGUUCCAAUCUCCCGUUCACCUGCAUGACAGAUAAGCCAUGUCAACAGUGGGCUAGGCUGAUCAGCUGGCAGUACCAGAAAGCACAGAUACUGAUGACAGUUUAUUGAAUUACUGUUAGUGAUUAACUUACUAACUUAAAAAAGCAUUUAUUAUAUUCUAUUUCUUGACUGUUGGUAUUAUUUAUAUAACUGUACAUGUUUGUCAAAACUCACAGAACUGAUAUUUUAAAAAGGUGACUUUUGGGGCACCUGGCUGGUUCACUCAGUAGUGCAUGCAAUUCUUGUUCUCAGGGUUGUAGGUUUAAGCCCCAUGUUGGGGGUAAGAGGUUACUUAAUAAAUAAGUUAAAAGUU